rnacentral:lncRNA from 1 species
ACACCAGCAGACCCAUGGUACGCUUGUUAUAGUCGUUCGCCAGACCCGUAAGGUUGCUCAGAUGGAUAAGAAUGACACUGCGGGCGUUAAAGAGUGUGGUUGGGAUAGGUUUGGGCGGUUCGAUACAGGUUAUGCAAUGGGCCUUCCAGUGCGGCUGCCGGAUUGCAGGGAUCCCUUGUGUCCACGGCCGCCAUCCUCGUGCAAGCAUUCCGCACCCGCCGACAACUCACGCUGUGGGUCAGUUGCAUGCAGGGCCAGAGCGGUGACGAGGACGAUACAGGGUAGGGAGAGGGAUUGAUGUGUACGGGGCGCGGGGGGCGGGGAGCAUGGUGUCAGCAAAUGCUUUAAGCGCGAAUCGCGCCAGGCUACACAGCGCUGAAGGGACAGGCGACAGGGCCGUCUGCGGAAGUCAGACUCACGGCAGGUCAGCAGCCACUCCGCGUAACGAAGCCACACGGUCUUGUUGCCGUUGGAUGAGUAGAUCACCGCAGGUUCGUCAAACUCCUGUGGGCGUGAACCGCGCCAGGAGUAGAUUGCCAGGACAGGGUCAGCCACGAUGCCCGGCACAGCAGGGUUGGUGUCUAUCGCAGAACCCAACAUGUUGUGUAGCUCCCACGGCACGGUCGAUCACACCUAAGAUGACGGCUUUGCAACACCCCUGCCCUGGCUGGUACUCGGCUG